rnacentral:sRNA from 1 species
UGAUGCAGACACGAUGAAUCAAUCGGUC